UUUAGGGUUAAGGUUAGGGUUAGGUGUAGUGUUAGAUUUUAUGGUUGAUUAAGGGUUAAGGUUAGGGUUAGGUGUAGGGUUUGAUUUUAUGGUUGAUUAAGGGCUAAGGUUAGGGUUGGGUGUAGGGUUUGAUUUUAUGGUUGAUUAAGGGUUAAGGUUAGGGUUAGGUAUAGGGUUAGAUUUUAGGGUUGAUUAAGGGUUAAGGUUAGGGUUAGGUGUAGGGUUAGAUUUUAGGGUUGAUUAAGGGUUAAGGUUAGGGUUAGGUGUAGUGUUAGA